AUGCUAAGGACUCCAAAAUGUUGGUUCGACAAAGGAGGCCAAACCGCCUCAGAAAGAGAUUUAUAUCCGAGUAUUUCAGUGGUGAAGGGACUGAAGACAAAAACAUAUCGCGGAGUAGCUAUGAUGAUGCAAAGAUCAAAGCGUCUUCGGCACAGAAUGGGAACUAGCAAAGAUGCAUACAACAGCGAUUCUGAUAGUGACACUGUGGAUAAUCAUAGGAAGGCAAUUCCAUGCAGAAGAAUGUCAAAGCGCCUACAAGAGAAACAGAAGGCUGAUCAUGUUUCAGAUGAGAGGUGCACUGAAGCUUCUCCGUGUAUGUUGUCAACGUCUAAAUCUUCAGGAUCAGAUGAUGAGCUAUUGCGUAGUACUGUAAAACCUUGCAAACGCACUUCUAGUGGACCUAUUUGCUCAAUAUGUAAGAGUGGAGCUGGCAGCUGUCUUCUAAUCCAGUGCCAGAAUUCAAGCUGUUCUCGUAGCUUCCACACAUUCUGUCUUAGUCCUCCGAUGCAAGAUAGUAGAGGCACUUUGGAAUGUCCUCUCUGCAAAAUCAAUCAAGCAUCGUUGGCUAACGGGACGGAAGUGUAUGCCCCAAAAAAGGUCCAAAGGCUUGUAGGUUGCAGACGGGUGAUUCUUCAGGAGUCAGAUUUCUCGUAUCAAAUGCUCGUGAAAUGGCAAUCACUUUCUCAUCAUCACGACUGCUGGGUUCCACUUGAUUGGCUUCUUGUUGUUGAGCGUCAACGAGCACGAUCCUACAUAAGCAAGAAUACCUUACCUAAAGAAGCAUACUCGGAGGAUCAAAGGAAACCUGAAUGGCUUGAAGUAGAUCGUGCCAUUGCAUGCCGCCGGAAGUUUGGUCGUGAUGGUUUAUGUGACGUCCUGGCUAGUUUUCACAAUAAUGAAGAUUUUGAGGGGUACGAGUUCCUCGUCAAAUGGAAAGGGCUUGACUAUUGUGAUGUUACAUGGGAGUCUUACUGCACUGAAGGCGUGGCGUCAGCUGUUUCUAUGCUUGUCCAACGGCAUAAAAAUACUUUACAAAGCCCAAUGAACAGUGACGUGAUGGUCCCAGAAAAUGUACUAUACGCUUAUCAGCUUCAAGGAUUACAAUGGAUUCUUGACAAUUUCAAAUCUAGGAGGAGCGUUAUUCUUGCUGAUGAAAUGGGUCUUGGCAAAACUGUCCAAGUUGUUUGCUUUCUCAACCGCAUAAUCAAGGGAAGCCUGACUACAUCUCCUGCAUUGGUCAUUGUUCCCAAGAGCAUCCUACUGCAAUGGGAAAAGGAAUUUGAUCGCUGGGCACAUGAUGUUAGUAUUGUUGUUUACCAAGGAGAUAAGGACUCCAGGAAGUGUAUUCAAGCUCAUGAACUGUACUCUUCCAAAGGGAAGACUCUGUUUGAUGCUCUAGUGACAAGUUAUGAGAUUGUCCAACUUGAUAAAGCAGUUCUAAAAAAAAUUAAGUGGUCAACGAUUGUCAUUGAUGAGGCUCACAGAUUGAAGACGCUUGAUUGUAAUCUUGCAUCCUGCCUAAAGAAAUAUAGCUCAGAUUUCCGGUUGCUACUUACAGGAAGACCAUUCCAAAAUAACGUCCUGGAAUUGUUUUCAUUGCUUCAUUAUAUUGAUCCAAAUGAGUUCUCUGACCCAAAUGAUGAUCCAUUGUUCUCACCAAUUGAAUCUGAGCGGGGUCUGACAAUAGAUGAAAAAAUCGCCCGCAUUCCUGAGAUUUUAAAGCCUAGGAUGUUGAGGAGAUUGAAAGCUGAUGUGCUAAAAGAUUCUAUGCCAACAAAGAAGUGGGUAGAAGUUCCGUGUACGCUUACAGAUUCUCAGAGAGAUCUUUACAUUAAUAUUCUAGAGAAGAACUACUCAGAGUUGAACAGUGCUAUUCAGGAUGGAAAGAAGCGUCCUCUGAACAACGUGCUCAUGGAACUGCGAAAAUGCUGCAAUCAUCCGUAUUUGUUUACAGGAUCAGAUGUUAAACAACAUGCAGGAGAAGAUGUUCUCCAAUCACUAGUUUCUGCAUCAGGGAAACUUCAACUCUUACACAAGUUGCUCCCAAAAUUGAAAGAGAGAGGGAACCGUGUAUUGAUCUUCUCCCAGAUGAGAAAAUGCUUGAUAUUCUUGAGGACUUCCUUUCUUUCCUGGGAUACACAUAUGCACGCAUUGAUGGACAGACAGCACUCUCUGAGAGGCAGGAGAGCAUAA
rnacentral:rRNA from 1 species